AGGAUGAACGCUGGCGGUCUGCUUAACACAUGCAAGUCGAACGGAGUAGCAAUACUUAGUGGCGGACGGGUGAGUAACGCGUGAGAAUCUACCUUCAGGACGGAGACAACAGUUGGAAACGACUGCUAACCCCCGAUGUACUGAAAAGGCAAAUAUUUAUAGCCUGAAGAAGAGCUCGCGUCCGAUUAGCUAGUUGGAGAGGUAAAAGCUCACCAAGGCGACGAUCGGUAGCUGGUCUGAGAGGACGAUCAGCCACACUGGGACUGAGACACGGCCCAGACUCCUACGGGAGGCAGCAGUGGGGAAUUUUCCGCAAUGGGCGAAAGCCUGACGGAGCAAGACCGCGUGGGGGAAGAAGGCUCUUGGGUUGUAAACCCCUUUUCUCUGGGAAGAACACAAUGACGGUACCAGAGGAAUUAGCAUCGGCUAACUCCGCGCCAGCAGCCGC
rnacentral:rRNA from 1 species